AAUUGUGGGAAUUAUAGAAAUGAUGAUGUUAAACCCAUGAAAUUUGAUUGAAUUGUGGGAAUGAUGAAAAUGUUGAUGUUAAACCCAUGAAAUUUGAUUGAAUUGUGAGAAUGAUGAAAAUAUUGAUGUUAAACCCAUGAAAUUUGUUUGAGUUGUGGGAAUUAUAGAAAUGAUGAUGUUAAACCCAUGCAAUUUGAUUGAAUUGUGGGAAUGAUGAAAAUGUUGAUGUUAAACCCAUGAAAUUUGAUUGAGUUUUGGGAAUGAUGAAAAUGAUGGUGUUAAACCCAUGAAA
rnacentral:lncRNA from 1 species